rnacentral:lncRNA from 10 species
GGCGCGGGUCCUCCUUCCUCCUCCCGCCCCCUCGCGGUCAGACAACAGGUCUACCUGGAGAAAAUGUUGAGCAUUAGAAAGAGCAAAAGCUUCGGAGUCGCCCAGCUGCAGAUCCAAAUCCCAGCUCCCAGCUCCACUGUUCCAUUCAUUCGCUCGCUGGGUAUUUGUUGAACAUCUGCUACAUAGGAGGCACUGUACUUUGUGUUGAGUACAUCAUUGAUUUGGAUGAAAAUCCUUGCUGUCACAGAGCUCACAUCCUAAUGGAACAUUUUAUUUGCUACUUGACCUCAGGCAAGUCAUUGCACCUCUCCAAGCCUCAGUUUAUCCAUCUUUAAAGUGGGACUUGUAACCCCCAACCUUGCAAUGUGGCUGAGAUACAAGCAGGUAAGGGGCCUGAGACAUUCGAUGAAAGGCAUCCCAGGCACCUAGAGCUGGAAGGAACCUCGUUCCAAGAUGAUUCUGCAGCUGUUGCCAAAUGCAGAUGAGACAGGGGCUGCAACAUGGUUCAUCCAAGGCCACUCAGUGAGGUGGGGCAGAGCAAGAAUGGCGGCCCAGGUGCCCUCUCCUGUCCUGCUUCCCUUGAGUCUGAUGCUCUCUGUGUGGUCCAGUCAGGGCUGAGAAGUGAAAGGAAAUAGAGGCUGCCCUUCACCUCCCCUCCAGCUCCUGAAGCUGGAAGCUGCCUCUUCUCCUCUCACAUCACCACCAGGCAAUCAUGGGGAAAGCAUAGCCUGACUACCUUUUGGAAACAGCAGCCUCUAGUGUCUGGGCCAGAACAAGGGCUCAGGAGGAGCCCCAGGCAGCCCAGCUUUUGAGUCGGAUGGAAAUUACUAUUCUCUAAAUAUCAGUUCAGCCACAGUUAUUCAGGGAAGAGGCCCAGCACAGAUUGGGGAGGGUGAGGAGGAUGCGGGGAACAGAAUUAGCUUCUCUGUUGUCAGCCCCUGCAGUUUAGCUCUGACAGCAAACCUGCACAUUUUACUCAGCAAAACCAAGGCCCGAUCCCUGCCUCGCCCUCUUGUUGGCAGUCCAUGCAGUGGACCUGCUCUCAAAGAUCUCACCCUUCCUCAGGCUGCAGGGCCUCACCCAACCACGAUUCCUUUUAACCCACAGAAGACUUUAUGCCGAGGAGUCCUGGAAUAUCUCCUUUUCUCCAUCUUGGGACAUCUGUGGGGCGGUUUUUCCCCCUCUAGAUGGGGGCAUCAAAAACUGCCUUGCUUUCCUGACCUUAACCCAUCUCAGUGCCCAUGGGGUUGCGCUAAACAUCUCCAGAGAAAUGUCUUUAAAUAAACAGAUUUC